rnacentral:rRNA from 1 species
AUUGAACGCUGGCGGCAGGCUUAACACAUGCAAGUCGAACGAGUGGCGGACGGGUGAGUAAUGUAUGGGGAUCUGCCCGAUAGAGGGGGAUAACUACUGGAAACGGUGGUUAAUACCGCAUACUAUCGGAUGAACCAAUAUGGGAUUAGCUAGUAGGUGGGGUAACGGAUCACCUAGGCGACGAUCUCUAGCUGGUCUGAGAGGAUGAUCAGCCACACUGGGACUGGGACACGGCCCAGACUCCUACGGGAGGCAGCAGUGGGGAAUAUUGCACAAUGGGCGCAAGCCUGAUGCAGCCAUGCCGCGUGUAUGAAGAAGGCCUUAGGGUUGUAAAGUACUUUCAGCGGGGAGGCGUUACCCGCAGAAGAAGCACCGGCUAACUCCGUGCCAGCAGCCGCGGUAAUAC